CAGCCGCCACGGUAAUACGUAGGUGGCAAGCGUUGUCCGGAAUUAUUGGGCGUAAAGGGCUCGCAGGCGGUUUCUUAAGUCUGAUGUGAAAGCCCCCGGCUCAACCGGGGAGGGUCACUGGAAACUGGGAAACUUGAGUGCAGAAGAGGAGAGUGGAAUUCCACGUGUAGCGGUGAAAUGCGUAGAGAUGUGGAGGAACACCAGUGGCGAAGGCGACUCUCUGGUCUGUAACUGACGCUGAGGAGCGAAAGCGUGGGGAGCGAACAGGACUAGAUACCCCUGUAGUCCCUGUCUCUUAUAC
rnacentral:rRNA from 1 species